UACGUAGGGGGCAAGCGUUGUCCGGAUUUACUGGGCGUAAAGAGCGCGUAGGCGGCCAGGUAGGUCUGGUGUGAAAACUCGAGGCUUAACCUCGAGAUGUCAUCGGAAACCAUCUGGCUAGAGUCCGGAAGAGGAGAGUGGAAUUCCUGGUGUAGCGGUGAAAUGCGCAGAUAUCAGGAAGAACACCAAUGGCGAAAGCAGCUCUCUGGGACGGUACUGACGCUGAGACGCGAAAGCGUGGGGAGCGAACAGG
rnacentral:rRNA from 1 species